GAUGAACGCUGGCGGCGCGCCUAACACAUGCAAGUCGAACGAUUAAAGCACCUUCGGGUGUGUAUAAAGUGGCGAACGGCUGAGUAACACGUGGGCAACCUGCCCCUCUCAUUGGGAUAGCCACGGGAAACCGUGGAUAAUACCGAAUACUUCGGGACUUCCGCAUGGAAGACUCGAGAAAGCUCCGGCGGAGAGGGAUGGGCCCGCGGCCUGUUAGCUUGUUGGUGGGGUAAUGGCCUACCAAGGCAAUGAUGGGUAGCUGGGUUGAGAGACCGACCAGCCAGAUUGGGACUGAGACACGGCCCAGACUCCUACGGGAGGAAGCAGUGGGGAAUCUUGCACAAUGGGCGAAAGCCUGAUGCAGCGACGCCGCGUGCGGGAUGAAGGCCUUCGGGUUGUAAACCGCUUUCAGCAGGGACGAGGCGAAAGUGACGGUACCUGCAGAAGAAGCCCCGGCUAACUACGUG
rnacentral:rRNA from 1 species